rnacentral:snRNA from 1 species
GUGUUCACUCUGGCAGCACAUAUACUGAAACUGGAAUGAUACAGAGAUCAGCACGGCCCCUGCAUGAGGAUGAAACACAAAUUUGUGAAGCGUUCCAUAUUUCU